GCACAACAUCACCAAUCCGCAGAAUAGAAAACUAGGGUUAACCCAUACGCCUCCCACAACAAAACACCAAAUGACCCACUUCCUCCGGAGCCCAAAACGGAGACGCCGUGGACUAAUCACACCGCCACGGAAAGUGUCAUGUCUCUCGUGCCAAGACGACAUGCCUGUGGUACCCCCACAGGUGGUUAUAGCUCAGGUAUACCCUAC
rnacentral:lncRNA from 1 species